AGAAGAAGAUGCCCUGGAUCUCCUGUUGCAGGAUGACCCAAACGAUCAUGCAUUCAGUAUAAAUACGUACAUGGUAUUGGCAUCCCAAUAUUUAGUGGGAAGUUCCCAGGUAUCAUCCGCUAGCGACAGUCUACUGGCAAAUCCAGACAUGCAUUGGAAGGAUGCUGAUGUGGAGGACACAGGAACACCUGAUCCCAGAACUGUGGCAUUUCAUUCGGGGUGACAACCUGGCUUUCAGUUGAUAUGGGACCCUAUUAUUCGGAGAACUUCAGAUUUUAUGAAGCUGUCUUUGACAGAAGAUUUGGUUUUCUCCAUCUGUGUUGCCACCAACCAUUAUGCUGAGAUGGUCAUAUCUAGGGGGAAGGGUUGCCAUAUACUUCCCAAGGAAGUUUGCAGCCUCUCACUGAAGAGGAACUGUACAGAUUUUUGUGCAUUAUCUUAUACACGCCUGCUGUGAAGUUCCAGUCGAUAGACAGAUAUUGGUCAACGCAUGCCACUGUCGGAACAACUCAUUAUCAAGAAUUAUGUCUAGAAAUAGGUUUCAAGAGGUUGAAUACAAGAACAUUUUUGUUAAAUAUGAUGCAAGUACAUUUAAAUCUAGUGAUUGAAAGCAAGUACCUGAACAUUCGUAUAUGUUGAACUUGGAGAGGAAAAAUGGUUAGUACUUUUUGAUAACAUUUGAUAAGGUGUUGUUGCUUAGCAACCAAAUAUAAUUGAAUAAAAAAAAAAUAAAUUGUUUUAGAUUAACAAUAAUUGAAAGAUCUUUGUUUUAAUGUUGCAAUACUUAUUCUAUUUAAUGGAACAUAAUGGCAAAACGUCAUAUUAUUAGAAAAUGAUGGACAAGUAUAUAAAGUACGAAGUUUCCAUUUGAUGACCUUUGACCUUAAUUCUCUUCAUCAUAUUUUUGUUAAAAAUCUUUUAAAAUGAUUAAGAUCUAUUUAAAGAUUAUAUUUUUAAAAUAAUGUGACAUUUACUAAUCAUCAUGGAUUGUAAUUACGUUUAAAUUGUGUUGAAUGGAUGCAGAAAGGCAAAUUAUGGUCAAAAUUGUACUAUGAGUGUUGUUACUUAGCAACCAAAAAUAUUUGUUUGUCAAUAAAAUUGAUUAGUUUGA